GUGGGGAAUAUUGGACAAUGGGGGGAACCCUGAUCCAGCCAUGCCGCGUGUGUGAAGAAGGCCUUUUGGUUGUAAAGCACUUUAAGCGAGGAGGAGGCUACCGAGAUUAAUACUCUUGGAUAGUGGACGUUACUCGCAGAAUAAGCACCGGCUAACUCUGUGCCAGCAGCCGCGGUAAUACAGAGGGUGCAAGCGUUAAUCGGAUUUACUGGGCGGAAAGCGCGCGUAGGUGGCCAAUUAAGUCAAAUGUGAAAUCCCCGAGCUUAACUUGGGAAUUGCAUUGGAUACUGGUUGGCUAGAGUAUUGGAGAGGAUGGUAGAAUUACAGGUGUAGCGGUGAAAUGCGUAGAGAUCUGGAGGAAUACCGAUGGCGAAGGAAGCCAUCUGGCCUAAUACUGACACUGAGGUGCGAAAGCAUGGGGAGCAAACAGGAUUAGAUACCCGAGUAGUCC
rnacentral:rRNA from 1 species